UGCAGUGAACGUUCAGACUAGACCGGAACUCAGUGAAAAACUAGCACAAUCUGAGCAAGCAAGAGAAGCACAUCGGCAAGAUAAUCAAGUCCAUCAUGAAGAAAAUUGAAAGGUUAACAAUCAUAUGAGCCGAAGGGAAGAAGAAUGGGCACAGAUGAAGAAGCAUAUGAGUGCUAACUGUAGCCAACAUGACUCACCAGGAUCAGCUGGAACAAGAGAUCAUGAUGGAUAUUAGAAGCAAGACAUGUGAAUGGUUCAUGAGGAUGUCACCGUUGCAUGAAUAUGCAUAUGCUUUUGCUUCUAGUUUUUUUUUUACAGGAUGGACCUUAAGUUAGCCUGUGUUAGUUUCAUGUCUUGGAUUGUUUCUUCUCCAUCUCAAAGAUGUUGAACUAUGUUUGUCAUUGCAAAUAUGAAUUCUCCUAUUAUCAAAAGAUAUAUCAUUCUUCUA